UACUACAAGAAGGAUUUUCUUCAUUUUCCGAAGGGGCCUGAGGCUAAGUGAUUUGCUCAGAGUCACAUAGCUGGCUGAGUGUCAAAGGCAGGUUCUGAACUCCAGCCUUCCUGACCCCGACUCCUAUGCUGUCUCCACUCUACUCUUUCUCAGGUGGCUUCCAGAGCAGACUUUAAUUCAUAGAAAUACAGAAGGAUCUAUGUCCAUUAGAGAGAAGAUGUGAUGUGCAUCCUCAGAGUAUCGACACAGAUAAAAUAGCCCUCAGAACUGGCUUUGCCCCAGCCUGGAUGCAUUCCUCAUCUUGCCCAACUGGUUUCUUUUUCCUGGAGGCAGCUUUACAUCCUUGUCAGCCACACAGCUCCUUGCGCAUGGCAAGAAAAGAAAUCUGAGCACAUAUUAUGUUCAGGGCACAGUGCAAGCUCAAAGGACAAUCAUCGAUGUACAGGCAGUACUAGCUUCUCUGCUGAGCUCUGGCACACAUCCUUGGGUACGUCUGCCUGGGACUAAGGGGGCAGCCUUUGAUCAGGGACUGGGGCUCCCUUCUGUGAUCUUCAGAUGGGACAGUUACUGCUGUUGACCAAAGGCCCCUGCAAAGCUGC
rnacentral:lncRNA from 1 species